rnacentral:rRNA from 1 species
AACGAACGUUGGCGGCGUGGAUUAGGCAUGCAAGUCGAACGAAUCCCGGUAGCAAUACCGGGGGAAGUGGCGAAAGGGGCAGUAAGGCGUGGCUAACCUACCCCGGGGACGGGCAUAGCCUUCCUAACGGGAGGGUAAUACCUGGCGAUGCGGCGGGGGGGCAUCUCCCUGCCGUGAAACGAGUUUCGCCUCGGGAGGGGGUCACGUGCUAUUACCUGGUUGGCGGGGUAACGGCCCACCAAGGGGAAGAUGGCUAGCGGGUGUGAGAGCACGACCCGCGCCACUGGCACUGAGACACUGGCCAGACUCCUACGGGAGGCUGCAGUCGAGGAUCUUCGGCAAUGGGCGCAAGCCUGACCGAGCGACGCCGCGUGUGCGAUGAAGGCCUUCGGGUUGUAAAGCACUGUCGAGGGGGAGGAAGGCCCGCAAGGGUUUGACCUAUCCCUGGAGGAAGCACGGGCUAAGUUCGUGCCAGCCGCCGCCGUAAUAC